rnacentral:rRNA from 1 species
UUACCUACGGGACGCAGCAGUGAGGAAUAUUGGUCAAUGGGCGCGAGCCUGAACCAGCCAAGUCGCGUGAGGGAAGACGGUCCUAUGGAUUGUAAACCUCUUUUGUCGGGGAGCAAAAGACGCCACGCGUGGCGUUCCGAGAGUACCCGAAGAAAAAGCAUCGGCUAACUCCGUGCCAGCAGCCGCGGUAAUACGGAGGAUGCGAGCGUUAUACGGAUUUAUUGGGUUUAAAGGGUGCGCAGGCGGAAGAUCAAGUCAGAGGUAAAAAUGAGAGGCGAAAACUCUUCGAGCCGUUGAAACUGGUU